GCAGACGUAGUUGGGUCUCGAGCAUCUCAAUGAAUGGCUGAUAUCCUGUAUUUCUCAUUAAAUGUGAAUAAACUUUGUGCAAAGACUUGUCAAUGUCCACACAAUUAGAUAAUGAAUAUAUAACGUAUAACCAGUAAAAAAAUUAUAUAUUGGAUUUGGGCGUAUCCUUUGGAAAUUCGGGAUGCAACUAAAUCCAUUGGGGAGAGAGGAAUGGAAUAAAAAGAACGGAGCGGAGAACCUUCGGGAUUAAGAAUUUUCGGCUCUCCCUUCCCUUCACAUCAAGUUAACAACGGGAGCAAGCGGAGGGAUCACAGCCACAUUCACCUUUCUUUUCCUUGAAUUUUGAUGUUGCUUGCAGAAUGGAUUGCGGGGAUGAAGGAAAGGAAGCCUGCCACGAGGGCAAUACAGAACGUACAACAAUGGCAAUGCUGCACUGCACCCCCUACAUUCGUAUGCACUCAUCUGAAUGUAUCUUGCUUCAUCAGUCUUACCCAGCUUGGAUGAAUCUUGACAUUUGUGCCACUCAACCUUGUAUCGUGGCAGAAACUGCAUCAUCCUGCAUUCCACUGUGACUGUUUCAAAAACAGUCGCAAUUGAAAGAAAACAUAGCCAGGAAUGAUAUGCCUACAUAGAUGAAAAAGCAUAUAGGCGAAUCGAGAUUUUCAUAAUCAAGAUUAUUAAGACACAGAAAUGCAAUCAAAUUAUUUGCGACAAAUAAACACAUAUUUCAAACGAUGAAUCGUACUCAUUAA